AAACAGGAUUAGAUACCCUGGUAGUCCACGCCCUAAACGAUGUCAACUAGCUGUUGGGGCCGUUAGGCUUUAGUAGCGCAGCUAACGCGUGAAGUUGACCGCCUGGGGAGUACGGUCGCAAGAUUAAAACUCAAAGGAAUUGACGGGGACCCGCACAAGCGGUGGAUGAUGUGGAUUAAUUCGAUGCAACGCGAAAAACCUUACCUACCCUUGACAUGUCUGGAAUGCCGAAGAGAUUUGGCAGUGCUCGCAAGAGAACCGGAACACAGGUGCUGCAUGGCUGUCGUCAGCUCGUGUCGUGAGAUGUUGGGUUAAGUCCCGCAACGAGCGCAACCCUUGUCAUUAGUUGCUACGCAAGAGCACUCUAAUGAGACUGCCGGUGACAAACCGGAGGAAGGUGGGGAUGACGUCAAGUCCUCAUGGCCCUUAUGGGUAGGGCUUCACACGUCAUACAAUGGUCGGGACAGAGGGUCGCCAACCCGCGAGGGGGAGCCAAUCUCAGAAACCCGAUCGUAGUCCGGAUCGCAGUCUGCAACUCGACUGCGUGAAGUCGGAAUCGCUAGUAAUCGCGGAUCAGAAUGUCGCGGUGAAUACGUUCCCGGGUCUUGUACACACCGCCCGUCACACCAUGGGAGUGGGUUUCACCAGAAGUAGGUAGCCUAACCGUAAGGAGGGCGCUUACCACGGUGGGAUUCAUGAC
rnacentral:rRNA from 1 species